CCUUCCCAAGGGGGAAGGGAUGUGGCCAGUUUACCCCCCAAAAGCCCUGAGAACAAGCUAGCAGCAGCCAGAGGCAGGAAAGGGCCUGGUGAUCUUCUUUCCAGAAGCUUCUGAGACCAAGCUUGCAGUAGCAGCAGCAACAGCAGCCUGGGCCAGGAUGGGGCAUGGCCAAAUUCCUCCCAGAGGCUCUUCCUCCAGAAGCUCCUGAGAUGCAUGAAAACAGUUUCUACUGAGAGCAAAAGGCAAAGUGGAUGAUAGCUGUCACUUUCUGUCUAUGCUAGACAUAAGGGUGGUGAAUAAAAGGAACACAGAGGAAAAGGCAGUUUACAGAAUAAUCUCGUAUUUAGCAGGAGUCUUGGUGAAGAGCAAUGACAGGAAAGGAUCCUAAAACCAGCAAAAGAGGGGAGAAAACACUGAAGAAGAAAAUAAGGAAAGAUUGAAGUCCUGCAAAUGGAAAGUGACAGUGAGAGAGAAAAAAACAACGUUACUUGGUUUAAGAAGUGAGACUGGAAACAUGAUGCGAGUUGAAAAUGUUAAUGGCUUUCAGUGGAACUGAACAUUUAUUUUGCUGUAGUAUCCGUAAAAGAUAAAAUUUCUAAGGAACAGUGAGAGAGAUGGUACAAUGCAUAAGGAAUAAUUGAUCAUCACCAUUUUCAAAUUAUACUAAAAAUAUGAGAAUGUGCAUUGGAUAAAUUGGGAGGCAAUUAAUCAUAAGAACAUAGGAUCCAUCUAACUAGAACAGGCUAACAUCCAGUUCACUUUACUUCCCUUGACAACAUCCAAACUUUUCCCACACGCAUCAGUGAGAGAUGUACAACUACCAUCUAAGAACACCCUGUAAUGAGUGUUGGAUAAACAUCUGAAUUGAACAUGUUAUGAACUUGGGCUAAAUACAUAACUUUCAGUGUUCUGGUGGGCCCCAAAAUGAAAGUGUAUAAGGAUCCCAUUCUUCAUACUAGUUCAUCAAUACAUGGUAGAAACAGAAUUGUUUUUUUUGUUUUGUUU